AGUGAAUAGAUACUCGGGUAGUCCCAGCUGUAAACUAUGCUCGCUAGGUGUCAGGGACGGUGCGACCGUUUCUGGUGCCGCAGGGAAGCCGUGAAGCGAGCCACCUGGGAAGUACGGUCGCAAGGCUGAAACUUAAAGGAAUUGGCGGGGAGCACUACAACGGGUGGAGCCUGCGGUUUAAUUGGACUCAACGCCGGAAACCUCACCGGGGCGGACAGCAAUAUGUAGGUCAAGCUAAAGACUUUACCAGAAUCGCUGAGAGGAGGUGCAUGGCCGUCGUCAGUUCGUACUGUGAAGCAUCCUGUUAAGUCAGGCAACGAGCGAGACCCGUGCCACUGUUGCCAGCAUGUCCUCGGUAGUGUA
rnacentral:rRNA from 1 species